rnacentral:piRNA from 1 species
GGAACAUUGUCUCUACAUGGGCCAUCUUC